rnacentral:lncRNA from 1 species
GGAGCCCUCGGCCCAAAACUCUUUGAAGCCCAAGAGGGGCCCGGUUCAUGUAUGGGAACGUAUACGUACCCAUGAAUUGUGAAUGUCCUUCAUAAUCUUGCAAGCACACAAGGCAAAAAAACCCUAGUUCCUCUCCCCUCAAACUAUCGACGGCAGUGAUCUCAAUUUGAAGCGUCGCCUUUAUUGAUCGAGUCUCUUCGCUGGAAGCAUCAUCAUCCGUUUGAUUCGACUAACGACUCUACAAACUGUCGUUAAGGUUUGCAUGAUUACACUGUUGGUCGUUGGAUUUCUUGGAUAUGGGACUUGCUGUCUGGAAUGGCUGGAGCGGUCAUGGGUCGAACUGAUUGGAUACACAUGA